CAGUUCGGACUGUAGGCUGCAACUCGCCUACACGAAGCUGGAAUCGCUAGUAAUCGCGGAUCAGCACGCCGCGGUGAAUACGUUCCCGGGCCUUGUACACACCGCCCGUCAAGCCAUGGGAGCCGGGAGUGCCUGAAGUGCGCGGCCGCGAGGAGCGCCCUAGGGCAAGACUGGUGACUGGGGCUAAGUCGUAACAAGGUAAC
rnacentral:rRNA from 1 species